rnacentral:rRNA from 1 species
AGAGUUUGAUCCUGGCUCAGGAUGAACGCUAGCGGGAGGCCUAACACAUGCAAGCUGAGCGGUAGAGAUCUUUCGGGAUCUUGAGAGCGGCGUACGGGUGCGGAACACGUGUGCAACCUGCCUUUAUCAGGGGGAUAGCCUUUCGAAAGGAAGAUUAAUACUCCAUAAUAUAAUAGAUGGCAUCAUUUAUUAUUGAAAACUGAGGUGGAUAGAGAUGGGCACGCGCAAGAUUAGAUAGUUGGUGAGGUAACGGCUCACCAAGUCGAUGAUCUUUAGGGGGCCUGAGAGGGUGAUCCCCCACACUGGUACUGAGACACGGACCAGACUCCUACGGGAGGCAGCAGUGAGGAAUAUUGGACAAUGGGUUAGCGCCUGAUCCAGCCAUCCCGCGUGAAGGACGACGGCCCUAUGGGUUGUAAACUUCUUUUGUACAGGGAUAAACCUAUCUACGUGUAGAUAGCUGAAGGUACUGUACGAAUAAGCACCGGCUAACUCCGUGCCAGCAGCCGCGGUAAUACGGAGGGUGCAAGCGUUAUCCGGAUUUAUUGGGUUUAAAGGGUCCGUAGGCGGAUGCGUAAGUCAGUGGUGAAAUCUCACAGCUUAACUGUGAAACUGCCAUUGAUACUGCGUGUCUUGAGUAAGGUAGAAGUGGCUGGAAUAAGUAGUGUAGCGGUGAAAUGCAUAGAUAUUACUUAGAACACCAAUUGCGAAGGCAGGUCACUAUGUCUUAACUGACGCUGAUGGACGAAAGCGUGGGGAGCGAACAGGAUUAGAUACCCUGGUAGUCCACGCCGUAAACGAUGCUAACUCGUUUUUGGGCUUUCGGGUUCAGAGACUAAGCGAAAGUGAUAAGUUAGCCACCUGGGGAGUACGUUCGCAAGAAUGAAACUCAAAGGAAUUGACGGGGGCCCGCACAAGCGGUGGAUUAUGUGGUUUAAUUCGAUGAUACGCGAGGAACCUUACCAAGGCUUAAAUGGGAAUUGACA